rnacentral:rRNA from 1 species
GAUGAACGCUGGCGGCGUGCUUAACACAUGCAAGUCGAACGGAAAGGCUCCUGCUUGCAGGGGUACUCGAGUGGCGAACGGGUGAGUAACACGUGGGUGAUCUGCCCUGCACUUCGGGAUAAGCCUGGGAAACUGGGUCUAAUACCGGAUAGGACGAUGGUUUGGAUGCCAUUGUGGAAAGUUUUUCGGUGUGGGAUGAGCUCGCGGCCUAUCAGCUUGUUGGUGGGGUAAUGGCCUACCAAGGCCUCGACGGGUAGCCGGCCUGAGAGGGUGUACGGCCACAUUGGGACUGAGAUACGGCCCAGACUCCUACGGGAGGCAGCAGUGGGGAAUAUUGUACAAUGGGCGCAAGCCUGAUGCAGCGACGCCGCGUGGGGGAUGACGGCCUUCGGGUUGUAAACUCCUUUCGCUAGGGACGAAGCGCAAGUGACGGUACCUGGAGAAGAAGCACCGGCUAACUACGUG